AUGGAUACAUUUGCUGGUCUCACGUGCCUCUACCUGGCGAAUUUGAGAUUUGCUGAAUCGGACUUCGUCUCCAACAUCCUCGUCACUUGCAAGCGAUUAAAACACUUAGGUUUUCUCAAUUGUGACACAGAGAAUUGGAUGGCGUUCCAAAUUGAACACGCAGAACUCAGUGAGCUCAGUAUUGUCAAUUGCCGUUUUGACGUGGUCAAACUCGACUGGGUUCCGAAGCUCACUUGGUUGGUGUUUGAGUUUUGGAUGUCUUUCAAAGAACCACCACUGUCAUUUGGCUAUGUCCCAUUGCUCAAUGUUCUGAGUGUUUCAAAUGUUGCUCUUAGUUGGCAUGAAAUGGUCGAGUUAAGUACAUUUCUUCAUGAGACCUCUGUUCGAGACCUGAGCUUGGGGUUUAAAUGCGAAAAGAUUUGGGUUCAACCAGAGUGUCUGACCAGAUGGCUGGCAUCUGUGUUUCACCAACUAAGGAUUGUCAAUCUUGUUGACAUUCCUGAAGGGCAUGAUCUCACCUGGACAAUGUUCAUUCUGGAAGCGGCGCCUUCCCUGGAGGAGUUCUACAUGACGGUAAUGGAUCAUCCUUGUGACAUGCAAAUGGAUCAGGAGAAGAGGAAGACGAAGUCGUAUAGCGAGCACAAGGGUGUUGAGUGGGAAUCGCCUGCAUCGAAUUUCAAGCACCACCGUCUGACCAAACUAAUCAUCUUCUGUUUUCAAGUGAGUCAUGUCAGGCGUGUCUUGAAAGCGGCGGUGAAUCUAGGGGAUGUGUACCUGUAUGAUAGACUGACAUGCAGCAAGUGCCGAGGCGUGGAACCUCUAAAUCCGAUAAGGUUCCCGGAGACAAGUAAGCACAGGUGUUGGGUGGAGAAGCAAAUCAGAAGGGGUAUCGAAUCACUUGCCAGAAUCCACUUCCUGACUACUGCUAAAAUAAGGGAGGAUCAUGUUUCAAGGAUAGUGUAG
rnacentral:rRNA from 1 species